CCCGAUAUUAUGUGUGGGCAGCUUAAAGGAACUCAACAUUUAGCUGUAGUGAUCCUGAAAUAUUAGUUAUUAUAAUCUUAAAGACCCUUCUUUUUAAAGAAAAAUUUGCAGAUGUCUGACAAAUUAAAGAAACAUUUAAAUAACCAGCUUGGGUUAUUGAAUGAAUCAAGCAUAGAUCUGCAGAGUAGCAUCGGCAGUUUUAUACAACAGGUUACAAAAAAAGCAAUGGAAUAUAUAGACAACACUACUGACACCAAUAUGACAGUGAAAGAUGCGCAUGUUAUGGUAGCUACAGCACAGAGUGUAAUAUUUGAACAUCUAAAUAUGAUGAAUGGUAUGGUGAUCUGUAUGUUUAAUGAUAUUUUAAAAGAGAAAUAAUGCCUAAUUUAAAGAAGUGCUUAUUUAAAUAUAAUUUGUGUUAUAUAUAUAUAUAUGAUGUAAUAUAAUGAGCUUUGUGAAUUCAAGGGAACUCACUCUUCUUGUAUUAGUCUUAUAUUUUAUAAUGUUUUGAGUGAUGUCCCUUGCAUGUGAUGUGCUUCCUG